AGACAUACAAACAGCUCGUCCUAGCCAUGAGUUGGGGGGGACUGAAAAGAAAAUUUUAUUAAUGUCAAGCUCAUGUAAGAGGGCCUUAAUAUCAGAAACAAAUAACAAGAAAGACAACAGCACCACCAUUGACAGCUUGAAACCAAAAUGACAGCUUACCGUUGAGAAAGAGCUUCCUCCAUCUGGGGCAAAAACUGACAGUGAUGAUCCUGAAGCAGCCAACCAAAUCCUGCUUUUCCGUCUCAGUAUCAACUCUCGCGUCAACAUUGCAUUUAAGCAAUCCGCCAGGCGGAGACGUCGAUUGGGCUACAUGUUGAACAGCUGGGAAGGACAUGAGAUAUUUGUAUCAGUUUGUGCUGACCGCCACUCAGACUACAACACCUUGGCCAUCUGAAAAUUUCUUGAGCAGUAUCUCUUUUUGGACCACACAACAAGAAUCCUUUUACUUUUAUAUAAAAAUUUAGUUUGAUAUUAUGACUUUUUAUUAUUAACUUUUUACUCUUGAAUUUUACAAAAAUAUAAUUAUUUGACAUCUAAUUUUACAAAAUUCAACUCUUAAAUUUCAUAACAUAUAACCAUUUCACCUUUUCAAACGUAGAUAUAUAGGAAUUAUGUAAUUAUAUUUUUUUUAUAAAAGUUAAAUAUUAAAAAUUAAUAAUGAAAAAAUUAGAGUGGCUUAUUCCUCUGAAGCAUUAUAACCCACUCACCCAUAGGGUUUAAAAUAGCCUAUGGAACUUGUACCAGUUGCCACCCAUGCCUGCAUCUCAUGGUCAUAAGGGAAAAUGGCAUGCAUGGUGUGGCUCAACAUCAACUCGUGUAUCAAGCAAUCUGAGCAUCGCCUUAGAUAGGACGUUUAGCACUCCAAAAUCCCUUUCCAUUUUUUUUGGGUCAAAAGGUAAAAUCAAAUGAUAACCAAAAAAAUCUCUUGAAAAGUACUUUCAUUAAUUUUUUUACCUAUAUUUUCUCAUAGCUCUCUUGUUUCUCCUAUUGUCUCAAUUUGACUAAUUCAAAGUAUUACUAUUAUUAUUGUUGUUGUUGCUGUUAUUAUUAUUAUAAGCAUUAAAAAGAAGAUUCUAUUAAGUUUAAUAGAGAAAUGAACUUCUGUUGCCAAGCAAGGUUCUGUGUUUUGCUCCAACACGAUGGUGAUUUCCCUGACCCCUGUUAGUGUUGUGGUCUAAACUGUAAAUUUUGAUAUUUUUGAAUUUUAGAUUUGGAGCUUUCACGUUAAGGGAUAUGUUGCUGAGAUAUGCAACAAGAAUUUUUAUUGGUGAAACUCUGUUUCUACUCUGAGAAUCUUUGCUCCUCUCGAAGGGAGACUUGUAUGCAUCAAUGUCAACAACUCGAGAGUUGUCACUGCUACGCAAUGAUCUGCACAACCCAAAUGUGUUGGAAUAACAAAGAGUUUUGUCUCAUAACUUCUGAGAGCUGUGCGUUUACCGAUGUUGCUUGCCAAGAGUUUCCGAGGCGAGCAAAGUUCUUUUGCAUCUUGGUUCCCUGACCGAGACUUUUUAAAUACAAGUUUGUAAGUAUCUGAGCUGGUCGGUGCCUCAGAUCGAUGAAAGCCCUAAUAGCGUUGAGCAGAUGUGCAGCUAUGGUUGUUUGUUUUCUUGCCUAAGAGUUCUCAAAAUGGUUGAUGGGUUUAGUUUGAUUUCUGAGGAGAGUUAAUUGUGUAUUCUAAGCUGGGUUGUAGAUACUCAGCUUGUAAAUAUAGCUUUUGGGCCUGUGUUGAUUUGGCCUCAAGGUUUUCCUGUAUAUUUCCGCCCACUUUUAGCCUUCAUACAAAAUUGCAAUGAAAAAGAAAAAAAGAAAGCCAAAAGAAGAUUAUAUUGGUAAA
rnacentral:lncRNA from 1 species